rnacentral:lncRNA from 1 species
CGAGGCUGACAUGGACACCAAAUGCCUGGCUGGAUGCAGAGCAUCUGCUGGGAAGACCUUCUCCAGAAGAGCACUUGGACACUGUGGCACUGCUGCUGCUGCUCUGGACCUGCUGUGUACCUUGGCUCCACCAGCUGGACAGGAUCAGCUCCAUCAGGCUCCAGGGAUACACGCUGGGGUCUCUUGGUUCUUGCCCUCUGCAAUGUUUCACCUUGUGCCAUGGGGGGCUGCGAACUCCCAAGGGCAAAUGUCCCUGCAUGGGCUUGCCCUGUUCAGGAAACCUGUCUGAGGCUGGGCAGAGGGUUUGUUCAGCAAAGCUGGAGCCACGGUGGGUCUUUUGUGCCAGCACGGGGGUCAGCUGUCAGGGCAUGUUGCAGGCUUGUUGCUAAAUUUUAGGGCGAGGAGAGAAAGAUUGUAAAAGGAUAAUACUCUGUUGGUAAUUUGGACAAAAUUAGUGGCUGUGUAAUCAUCCUAAGUUAAUCAGUGGAUGUGAGAUGAGAGUCCUGCCACAGGGGCUAGGAAGCACCAACCUGCUGAGAGGGAGAGGGUGGCAGCUGAGUGGGAUGCUGCCACAGCCAAGACGAAAGGAGUGAAACUGGGUAUUGGAUUUCUUUGCUAAGAGCUGUGGAUCAGCCAGCUAACGAGGCAGUGGGUUCUGGGGGCACAGGAAGAGCUCAGGACAUGGUUAGUGCUCAUUAGCAGCCAGAGAUGUGAGAGCUGUCAGCGCACUGGCUCUUUGGGCUGGCCCAGCCUUUGAGUGUCCCUGGAAGGAGGGCCAGCACACUGCUCCUGGUGGCACAGCUCCAGCAGCUGCCGGCCGCUCCUCAGCCACAACAGCUGCUCUUGGAGCUGCGAAUGCUAAAGGCUUGAGAAAUUAAUUUUGCCUGUCAAAAAUUCAAAUGUACACGUGUGAACUGUGGUUCAGCAAGGUGUGAACCCAGCUGGCUGCGCUCCAGCUCCGGGAGCGCCGCUCACCGCAGGGGAGAGGAGCCAGCCAGUACCUGCCAGUGUAAGCUGCUAUUGUCUUCCACAUAAAACAUGCCCUUAAUUAAUAGCUAGCAUGAACCUAAGCCACUAUCUCUGUUAUCAAUUUGUGGAUGUGGUUGGAUUGUCUGUCUCCCAGGACAGUAAUAUCCCUUCAUCUUACUGCAAAUUGCUCACAGCAUCCUUCUAUUACACAGGCUUAAUGCUUGAAAAAUAGAGAUUUAAUACUCUACCAUAUCAGACUAAGUGAGGUCAAAGCAAUUCAUGUUCACGAUCCCACAAAGCUCCCUGAUGGUGUUCCUGUGAGGAAUGUGAUGUGCAGGAGGCAAACAGGGAGCUCCUGUCCCGGCUCGCAGCUGUCCCGCACCCGCAGGGCCCAGGACAGCCCCCACAGUGGAAAGGUUGGCUCCUC